GACGAACCGUACGAACGUUAUUCGGAAUUACUGGGCUUAAAGGGUGCGUAGGCGGCGCGGAAAGUUGGGUGUGAAAUCCCUCGGCUCAACCGAGGAACUGCGCCCAAAACUACCGUGCUCGAGGGAGACAGAGGUGAGCGGAACUUAGGGUGGAGCGGUGAAAUGCGUUGAUAUCCUAAGGAACACCUGUGGCGAAAGCGGCUCACUGGGUCUCUUCUGACGCUGAUGCACGAAAGCUAGGGUAGCGAACGGG
rnacentral:rRNA from 1 species